GAGAUGAAUAGCCUGAUGAGUCCCAAAUUGCCCCACUGCCUGCGGUAGACUCGGCCACCUGAGCUGCAGACGUGCAUGCAACCACAAGAUUGAAAUCAAUUUAUUCUUCCAGAUAUACUGUUCAAAGGAGCGUAUUCUCGUUAAGGGAGAAAAAGAUACCAAGUUGCUGUUCACAUAUUUUUU